ACCAGUUCGGGACACUGGAUUAGAUACCCUGGUAGUCCACGCCGUAACGAUGAGUACUAAGUGUCGGGUUAAACCGGUACUGAAGUUAACACAUUAAGUACUCCGCCUGAGUAGUACGUACGCAAGUAUGAAACUUAAAGGAAUUGACGGGACUCCGCACAAGCGGUGGAUCAUGUUGUUUAAUUCGAAGAUACCCGAAAAACCUUACCAGGUCUUGACAUGUUUUUGCAAAAUGAUAGUAAUAUCGUGGAGGUUACCAGAAACACAGGUGGUGCAUGGUUGUCGUCAGCUCGUGUCGUGAGAUGUUAGGUUAAGUCCUAAAACGAGCGAAACCCUUAUCGUUAGUUGCCAGCACGUUAUGGUGGGGACUUUAACGAGACUGCCAAUGAUAAAUUGGAGGAAGGUGAGGAUCACGUCAAAUCAGCAUGCCCCUUAUGACCUGGGCUACAAACGUGAUACAAUGGCUGUUACAAAGGUAAACCUGGGAAGAAGA
rnacentral:rRNA from 2 species